UACGGAGGAUGCAAGCUUUAUCCGGAAUGAUUGGGCGUAAAGCGUCCGCAGGUGGCAAUGUAAGUCUGCUGUCAAAGCGUCUGGCUCAACCAGAUAAAGGCAGUGGAAACUACAUAGCUAGAGUAAGGUAGGGGUAGAGGGAAUUCCUGGUGUAGCGGUGAAAUGCGUAGAGAUCAGGAAGAACACCGGUGGCGAAAGCGCUCUGCUGGACCUUAACUGACACUGAGGGACGAAAGCUAGGGGAGCGAAUGGG
rnacentral:rRNA from 1 species